rnacentral:rRNA from 1 species
AUACGUAGGGUGCAAGCGUUAAUCGGAAUUACUGGGCGUAAAGCGUGCGCAGGCGGUUUUGUAAGACAGUGGUGAAAUCCCCGGGCUCAACCUGGGAACUGCCAUUGUGACUGCAAGGCUGGAGUGCGGCAGAGGGGGGUGGAAUUCCGCGUGUAGCAGUGAAAUGCGUAGAUAGGCGGAGGAACACCGAUGGCGAAGGCAUUCCCCCGGGCAUACAGUGACGCACAUGCACCAAAGCGUGGAGAGCAAACAGGAUUAGAUACCCUUGUAGUCCUCGCCCUAAACGAUGUCAACUGGUUUUUGGGGUUUUAUUUUCUCAGUACCGAAGCUAACGCGUUAAGUUGACCGCCUGGGGAGUACGGCCGCAAGGUUAAAACUCAAAGGAAUUGACGGGG